GACGAACGCUGGCGGCGUGCUUAACACAUGCAAGUCGAACGGAAAGGCCCUGCUUUUGUGGGGUGCUCGAGUGGCGAACGGGUGAGUAACACGUGAGUAACCUGCCCUUGACUUUGGGAUAACUUCAGGAAACUGGGGCUAAUACCGGAUAGGAGCUCCUGCUGCAUGGUGGGGGUUGGAAAGUUUCGGCGGUUGGGGAUGGACUCGCGGCUUAUCAGCUUGUUGGUGGGGUAGUGGCUUACCAAGGCUUUGACGGGUAGCCGGCCUGAGAGGGUGACCGGCCACAUUGGGACUGAGAUACGGCCCAGACUCCUACGGGAGGCAGCAGUGGGGAAUAUUGCACAAUGGGUGGAAGCCUGAUGCAGCAACGCCGCGUGCGGGAUGACGGCCUUCGGGUUGUAGACCGCUUUCGCCUGUGACGAAGCGUGAGUGACGGUAAUGGGUAAAGAAGCACCGGCUAACUACGUG
rnacentral:rRNA from 1 species